rnacentral:lncRNA from 1 species
CUAAGGCAGACAUCAGGCCCCAGGUCUAUGUCCCACUGGGACCUUAUGUUCACCAGGGACUGGUAUCCAGCUGUGGCCUGAUGACCUACUGCAUUCUGUUGCUCACCUAUGGGCUGGUGUCUACCUGGGGCUUGGUGAUCACCUGGGAGCUGGAUAUCAGCCUGGGGCCUGGGUGUCCACUUAAGGCCUGAUGUGUGCCUGGGGCCUGAUUGUCCACCUGGGGACUGGGUGUCCACCUUGGGUCUGAUGUCUACCUGAAGUUAUUUAUCUACCUAAGGCUUGGUGUCUACCUGUGGCCUGAUGUCCACAUGAGUCUGGGGUUCGGUUGGGGCCUGCUGUACAUCUGGGACCUUGGUGUCUAUCUGAGGCCAGAUGUCUACCUGGUGACUGCCAUCCUCUUGAGGCCUGAUAUCCACCUGGGAAUGGUUUAUCCAUGGAAACGGUUAUGUCCACCUGGAGCUGGAUGUCGCCCAGGAGCUAGAUGUCCACCUGUGGCCCCGUGUCCACCUAGGGCCUGAUGUCCACAAGUUGGCCUGGUAUUCAUCUGGGGCCUUCAUGCUAAUGUGGCUUAAUGUACUCCUGGGUUCUAGUGUCCUCUUGGGACCUGAUGUCUACCAGGAUCCUGGUAUCCACCUGGGGCCUGGUAUCCACCUAGGGCUUGAUAUUCACCUGGGGCCUAAGAAUCCACUUGAUAACUGGUGCUCAUCAGGGUCCUGAUGUUCACCUUGGGACCGGGUAACCACCUGAGGCCUGAUGUCUACUUAGGGCAUAAGUGUUUAUCUGGGGUCUAGUGUUCACAUGGGGCCUGAUGUCAACCUUGAGCCUAGGUAUUCAUCAGGGGACGAGUGUCCAGCUGGGGCCAGAUGUUCACUUGGGGUCUGGUGUCAACUUGAAGCAUGGUUGUCAACCUAGGACCUGAUGUCCAGUCCAGUGUCCACCUUGGGCCUGUUUUCUAACUGGGGCCUGUGUGUCCACAUAGACCCUGGUGUCAAUUUGGGGCCGGGGUAUUAACAAGGGGCCUGGAUAUUCAUUGGUACAUUAUGUCUACUGGGGUCUUUGUGUCAAUCUGAGCUCUGAUGUCCACCUAGAGAUUGGGUAUCCACCUAAGGCCUGGUGUUUACAUGGGGCCUGUAACACGAGGUUCCAGAUGAACUCGGAUGUCCACCUGAGGCCUCAUGUCCACCUGAGUUCUGAGUGUUCACAUAGGGCCUGCCAUCAACUUGGGACCUAAGUAUUUACCUAGGGCCUGGGUGUCCACCUGGGGCCUGACUUCCAACUAGCUCUUGUGUCAACAUGGGGCCUGAUGUCCACUUUGGGCCUAGGUAACUUCCUGAUGACUAAUGCACACAUGGCUCCUAAGGACCAUCUGAGGCCUGGUAUUAAUUUAGAGACUGGUAUCCACCUGGGGUCCAGGUAUCCACUUGGGACCUGAUGUUCACCUGGAGUGUAGGAAUUCACGUGGGGCCUGGUGUCCACCUUGAGUGUGUGUAUCCAACUGAGUGCUGGUGUCCACCUGGAGUCCAGUGUAUACCUGGGGCCUGAUGUACAUAUGGGGCCUGGGCAUCCAUCUAGGACCUGAUGUUCAGAUAAGGGCUGGCGUUCUCCUGGCCUGGUGUCCAUGUGGAGCCUGGGUGUACAUUUGGAGCCUGAUGUCCCAGGUGGAUACCUGGGCCCCAGUGGUCAUCAGAUCCUAGGAAACUCUCAGGCCCCAGGUGCACAUAAAGCUCCAAGUGGCCACCUAGGCCACAGGUUGAUACACAGGGUCCAGGUGGACACUGGGUGCAAGAUGAACACCAGGCACUAGAUUGACACACAGUUACCAGGUGGAUAUCAGGCCGCAGAUGAACACCAGGCCCCAGGUGGGGUGGGUUACUUAUAGCAUAGGUGGCCAUCAGUUCCCAGGUCUAUAUCCACUCCCCACCUGAAAAUCAGGAUCCAGGUGAAUACCCAUGUCCUAGGUGAACACCAGGUUCCAAAUGAACAUCAGGCUCCAAGUGAACACACAGGCCCCAGUUCAAUACCAGCCUCAGGUAGACAUCAGGACCCAGGUGGACCCCAGGUGAACACUGAACUCAGGGUGGUCAUCAGGCCCUAGGUUGACACAUAGGCCUCAGGUAGACAACAGGCAUAGGUGAACUUCAGGCUCUAGAUGAAUGUUGGGCUCCAGGAAGAAGUCUGUGCCCCAAUUAAACACUGGGUCUUAGGUAGACAUCAGGCCUCAAAUGGAUGCCCAGGCCCCAGGUGGAUAUAAGGCCUCAGGCCCCAGGUAGACAUUAGACACGAAAUGGACACUCAGGCCACAAGUGAACAUCUGUCCCCAGGGGGACAUCCAUCCCAAGGUGGACAUCAGGCCAGAGAUGUACACCCAGGCCCCAGGAGAACCCCAGGCCCCAGGAGGACACUCAAGUGCCAGAAGGACACCCAGUCCCUAGGUAACUACAAGGCCCCAGGUGGACAUGAUGUUCCAGAUGGAUAUGAGGCCCCAAGUGGAUACUAGGCCCAGGUGGACCCCAGGUCUCAGGGGCACACCAGGCCCCAGGGGAACACCAGGCCCUAGGUAAGCAUGCAGUCCCAGGUGGACAUCAGGUGCCAGGAGGACACCAGGACCCAGUUGGUCAUCAAGCCACUGCUGAACACCAAUUCCCCAUGAACACCAGUCCUCAGGUGGGCACCUAGUCCUCUUGUGUGCAUCAGGUGCCAGGCUGACAUAGGCACCAGCUGAACUCUGGGCCUCAGGUGAACAUCAGAUCCCAGGUUGUCACCCAGGUCCCAGGUGAACACCAGGUUUUAGGUGGACACGAGGUCCUAGGUGGAUGUCUAUGCUCCUGGUGAACCUCAGGCCCUAGUGGACACUCAGGCCCUUUAUAGACAUCUGGCUCCAUAUGCACUCCCAGGGCCCAGGUAGACAUGAGGCCCCAGAGGAACACCAGUCCUUAAUCAACUAAGACUGAAUUCCCCUAGGGCUGGAGACUGAGUAUUCACCUUGGGCCUAGGAAUCUACCUGGGGCCAGAUGUCGAUCUGGGGCCUGAUGUCUACUCAGGUUCAGCUGUCCACCUAGGGCAGGGUGUUCUUCUGGGACCCAGAGUCUACCUGAAAUCUUGUUAUCAACCUGGGUCCUAUGUGUCCACUUGGAGUCUGAUGUGCACCUGAAGCCUGAGUUUUCACCUAGGAUCUGAUGAGCACCUGGGGCCCAGGUUUCCAUCUGAAACAUCAGGCUCUAGUUAUACAUCUGGGCCCCAGGUAUACACUAGACACGAAAGGAACUCCAGCUCAUAUCUUAACAUGAGGUCCUAGGUGGAUGCCCAGGCCUCAUGUCUACAUUAGGCCUCAGGUAGACACGAUUCCAGGUGGGCAUCAGGCCUGAUAUUGGCUCUAUGUCUCCACCCAAAUCUCAUGUUGAAUUGUAAUCCCCAUGGGUUGAAGAAGGGGCCUGGUGAGAGGUGAUUGAAUCAUGGGGGCAGACUUCCCACUUGCUGUUCUCGUGAUAGAGUUCUUACGAGAUCUGGUUAUUUGAAAGUGUGUAGCACAUCCCCCUUCUCUCUCCCUCCUCCUCUCCCAUGGUAAAAAGGGCUUGCUUCCUCUUGGCUUUACAUCAUGAUUGUAAGUGGCCCGAGCCCGCCCAGUCAUUCUCCCUAUUAAGCCUAAAGAACUGUGGGUCAGUUAAACCUCUUUUCCUCAUAAGUUGCCCAAAAUCAGGUAGUUUUUUAUAACAGUGUGAAAACGGACAAGGUCUUAGGAUAACGACCAUGCUUCAGGCCAUAGGUGGACAUCUGGCUGCAACUGGACACUAUUCCCCAGGUGGAUACCUAGGCUCAAGGUUGACAUUAGUCCCCAGGUAAACAACAAGCCCCAGAUGAAUACCUAUGCCCUAAGUAGACAUCAGGCCUCAAGCUGACACUCAGUCUAACCUCAACAUUAGGCUCCAGGUGGACACCCAGACUCCAGGUGGACACUAGACCCCAGGGGUACACCAGACUCCUGGUAGGCAUAAGGCCCCAGGAGGACACUAGAAUCCAGGUGUACAUAAAGCCACUGAUUGACACCAAGCCCUCAGAUGAACACCAGGCCAACUAGUGGACGUUAGGCACAUGAGAAUACUUGGGCACCAGGUAGGUAUCAGGUCCCAGGUAAACAUCAAACUUCAGGUGGACAUCAUUCUCCAUGUGAACUCUAGCCCCAGCUAAACAUCAGGCUCCAGGUGGAAGCCCAGACCCCAGGAGCACUUCUGACCACAGUUGAACAUCUGUCCCCAGGUGAAUAUCAGACCAUGGAGGGAUAGCAAGUCCCCAGGUAGACAUCAGGUCAAAAGUGAAUAUAAGUCUCUAGGAAGACAUCUGGCCCCAGGUGGAUACUGAACUAGAGGUUUACAUCAGGCCCCAGGUUGACAGCAAGGCCCAGGUAGACAGCAGGCCCCAAAUGAAGACCAGGCCCAGGUGUAUACUGAACUAGAGGUUUACAUCAGACCCCAGAUUGACAUUCAAUCCCCAGGUGGUCAUGACACCUCAAUUGGACACCAAGUCCUCAGGUUGAUACCCAAGUCCCCGGUGGACACCAGGUCAAAGAUGAACACAAGACCUAAGGUUGACACUCAAGCCCCAAGUGGACACCAGGCCCUAGGUGAAUAAUAUGACCCAGGGGAUCAUUAGGACCCAGCUGCAUACCAGUCCCCAGGUGUACAUGAGGCCCCCAGUAGGUUCCUAAGCUCUAGUUCGACAUGAGGUCUCCAGUAGAGACCCAGGACUAAGGUGGACAUCAAGCAUCAGAUGGACGUCUGGCCAUGGAUGAACAUCAAGCCUCACAUGGAUACCUAGUCCCCAGGUAGACAUCAGACCCCAGUUUGACAUCAGUUUCUGGGUGGAUCCCUAAGCCCCAGGUGGAUAUCCAGUCUCCAGCUGAACAUCAGCCCCUCGUGGACGUCCAGGCCCCAGGUGGAUAUCAGGUCUCAGGUGAACACAAGUCCCCAGGCAGACAUCAGGCACCAGGUGCACACUCAGACCCCAAGAGGACAUGUGUCCCCAGGUUGACAUCACUCUCAAGGUGUGCAUUAGGCAACAGAUGUACACCCAGGUCCAAGGCAGACACGAGUCUCCAGUAAAACUCAAGGCCCCAGGAGGAUACUCAAGCCCUAGGUGGAUGCCCAGAUCCCAGGUAAUUACAAGGCCCCAGGUGGAUAUCAGAUUCCAGAUGAACAUUAGGCCCCAAGUGGAUAACUAGGCACCAGGUAGACAGGAGGCCCCAGGUGCAUCCCUCAGUCUCAGGUGCACACUAGGCCCCCGGUGAACACUGGCUCCAGGUGAGCACCCAGUCCAAGGUAGACACCAUGACCCAGGUGGUCAUUAGGCCACAGCUAAACACCAAUCUCAAGUGAACACCAGAUCCCAGGUGGGUACCUAGUCUCCAGGUGGAUAUCGGGCCCCAGGUGGACACCCAGCCCUCAGAUGAACAUCAAGCUUCAGGUGGACAUCAUGCCUCAGGUGAACUCCGGGUCCCAGCCCAGCUGAACAUCAGGCCGCAGGUGGAUGCCCAGGUUCCAGGUGCACAACAGGUCACAGUUGGACAUUCAGCCCCAUGUGAACAUCGGGCCAUGGGUGGACAAAGAGUCCACAGGUGGACAUCAGGUCAAAGGUGAACAUCAGUACUCAGGUGGACAUCAGGCUUCAGGUUGACAUCAAGCCCAAGGUGGACACUGAACUAGAGGUUUACAUCAGGCCCCAGGUUGACACCCAGGCUCAGGUGGACAUUAGGCCCCAGGUGGAUACCUAGACCCCUAGUAAACCUCAGAUUCUAGGUUGACAUUCAGGCCCCCAGUAGUCAUUUGGCCCCAUGUGGACACUCAGGCGCCAGGUUCACAUGAUGUCUUAACUGGACACCAAGGGGCCAGUCUGAUACCCAAGUCCUAUGUGGGUGCCAGGUCCAAGGUUACACUCAAGCCCCAAGUGGACACCAGGCCCUAGGUGAAUAAUACAACCCAGGUGGUCAUUAGGCCCCAGAUUGACACCAGUCCCCAGGUUAACCAGAAGCCCCCAGUGGGUACCGAGGCCCCAGUUGGACAUCAGGCCUAAUGUGGACACCCAGGAUCAAGAUGGACAUCAGGACUCACGUAGACAUCUGGUGACAGGUGGACAUCAAGCCUGGUGUGGAUACCUUGUCCCCCGGUGGUCAUCAGGCCCCAGUUCAAC